CCUGAAAAAAGUUUCUUCCAUACAUGGCGGUCUCCCUAAAUACAUGUUUGGUGUCUCUACCAGGCACCAGCAAAUUAAAGCCCCAAAAACUGUAGAUAAAACCGCAUUUGGAACAAGAUGGUCGCGCAAAAAAAUGGGACUAGAAAGGUGGGGAAUAAUUGGCUGAGGAUUCAUGGUAUGCUUUGUUGGGCGCCACCCUGAUUCUUUUUUCUGUUCAUGUCGCCCUUUCGUAGUUGCCACCAAUCUGCAUGCGAAGCCACUCUGAAGCCGGCGAGCCUUGCGUGUACUCCCUUGGUGUUUGCGGGUCAAAUAUUAGACCUGGAGCUGUGUUGUACGUCGGCGAGAAGACAAGAAUACAUAUUUUUCUGUACACAAACAUGACAACAUAGCAUCUAUCAUAGCAGGCCUGAUUGCAGAUCAAGGGCCGAGAUGCAUAGUAGGCAACACAGUUUGAGAAAUCAAGCAUUGGAGCUAAGAUAUACUGUACUUCUUUGUACCCAUCAUUCUUUUGCUACUUAACCAUUGAGUUCGCAACUUGACUUACAUCUUUAGUUGGAAAUGUCUCGGCCCCAUUGUGAGCAUGGGCAUUAACCGCCUCAAGCUUCCUGGACAGGAACUGCAGAUGACAGCAAUUGUCAAGCUAUUUAUCAUUAACUGAACUAUAGAGGGACAUAAUUCCAUAUUAGCGACAAGACACAGCAUACCUCAAUUUGACGUUCCAAAGCUUGGACAUAAUUGAUUAUCUCACUGAGGACCGAUGCUUUGCCAAUAACCUAACCAAGGAAGCAUAAGCUUUCCAAAGAAAAUCAUUUACAUACACAAAACUAGGGAGGACUUAGAGCUUGAAGAUGAUACCAAAGAUAAAUAGAUCUGGACAUUAGUGGGACUGUGGGAGAGAAUGGAGACAUAAAAAAUAUUGAAUUCUUGUUGAGAUUAAAAUUCACCUUAUUACAUCCAGGGACAAGAUCUUGGAGAAUUUUCACCCACUCGGUUAUUUUCUCACGACGUGCCUCUCAAAAUAGUAGAACUUCCAGUGAUCAAGGGUGUACAAGAAUAGUCAAAAUGAAACAAUGCACUGAACUGACCCUUUCUGCAAGGCUAUGGCUGUUGGUUGCUUGACCCCUUCUUGCCCUCACAUGGAUGAAAUCUUGCUUUGGUGGCGGAGGAUUUUGAUCAACAGCCUUACUAGCAUUUCUUGAAUCAGCUUCAGCAUCUUUUCUGAAACUGCCAUUAUCAUCAGUGGAUUUAUUUGCCUUGGAAUGUUUUGCUUUUGCAUUAGUCUGCACAUUAAGGUUCGAGUGACUUAGCGAUUAAGACAGACGAGAGAAAGAACAAUUAACCUGUUGCCCUCUGCAUAAGCUGUGCUACGGGCAUUUUUUUCUUUAGAAUAUAACAGAAAUAUUGUCAACCGCCUUCUGGCCUCCCAAGUCAAACAAAUAUUUAAACUGUCAAUCGGCACAUAACCAGUUAAUAUAAGGGGCGAAAAAUCAUAUAAUGGCACCAGUAAAAUCAAAGAUCACAUACGACAAUAAUGAUAGCUUGCAGACUAUCACCAAUAUGAUGCCUGCUAAAAUAAAUAUGACAGUAGGUUACUAAAUGCAAGUAGAAGAUGCAAAAUACUCUGGACCAGGUCAUUGGCUCAGUACUCUGGACCAGGUCGUUGGCCGCCUCCAAGAGGUUUGACGGGGCCGUCUCAUCAGAGAAUGUUGCGGACCUGGGUGAUCCGCUUCAUCCGGGUCUAGUCAGAAUGUCGGAGCGGGGAGGUUCUCGUUGGGUCGGCUCCACCAAAGUACAACCACAUUCCCCUGACGCGGGCCUGAAGUGGCUGGAUCCUCCGGCUGACCCAGGCGGCAACGAUGUCAUUGCCGGUCAUAUCCGACUUCGUGAGCACGCUGACCUGCUCCAUCAGGAUCUUAGCCUGGGUCUACUCCACCCUCGUGAGCUUGAGCGGCCACCCGGUGUGCCAAUCUGCGGCCUCGGGCGUGUACGGAGGCAAUCUAAGGCCCAAGGCAAAGGCAAAGAUGUUGAUGCUCCAACAACAUCAACAUCAACUCCGAGGGCGUAACGUUCACCAGAAAAUUGCUACCUGCUAUGACCCCAAUAGUAAGGCCUUCAUCUUUGGGGGAAAGCCUUUCAGAUGACUGUGGAAGAUGUCGAGCAUAUCAUAGGUGUGCCCGCAUUGGGCCAAGAGUUUUUUUUUCAUGCGAAUCAAUUCAAGUAUUUGCAUUAUACGAAGAGCUAAAAGGCCCUAGCGGAAAUAACCCACUUUGAAAGGACUUGUUGAAAAAUAAAAAACAACAAGGGAUCAACUUUCAUCCGCGCACACAAUAGGUGUGCUAAUGUGUCCAAUAGCAGAGAGGCACGUCGGCACGAAGUACCUAGGAUUGGUAGCAGACAUAUCUAGAAUAACGAUGGUGAAUUUUGCAUUCCUCACGCUUACUCAUCUGAUGGCCAUUAUCACCAAAUUUAAAGAUGGAAGCUCGAAUUUGGAGGGGAACCUCCCAUUGCUACAUGUUGGAAAAGCUAUAACUAUCUGAAUGUGAGGUUCAUAUAGAUUCAUAUAUUUAUAGCCUUUUGUAACCUGUAGCAAUGGGAGGUUCCUCUCCAAAUUCGAGCUUCCAUCUUUAAACUUGGUGAUGCUGGGCAUCAGAUGGUUAAGAGUAGGGAGUGCAAAAUUCACCCACUUUAUUCUAUAUAUGUCUGCUACCAGUCCUAUGUAGCUCGUGCCGACGUGCCUCUGUGUUGUUGGAUACAUAAGCACACAUGUUGUGUACAUUACAUAGGCGCGGAUGAAAGUUGACCCCUUGCUGUUUUUUAUUCUUGUAGUAAACCCUUUCAAAGUGAUUUUAUUUUCGCUAGGGUCUUUCAGCUCUUCAUAUAAUGCAGAUGUCUGACUUGAUUCGCAUGGAAAACACUCUUGGACAAUGUGUGCACACGCAUAAUAUGCUCGACAUCUUCCACAGUCGAGAGGGCAUUGCCCCAAAGAUGAGUACCUUCUUGUUGGGGUCAUAGCAUCUAUCAAUUUUCUGGUUCAAGUUAUGCCCGGUGUUCGUUUUUGUUCACACGUUAAUGGAGCAACCACUUAUCUGUGAUCACAGACCUGGGAUGGUUCCGGUGCAUCGCCUCCAAAAAUGGAGAAAAAUCCUUAUUUGACACUAUCUUAAAAUCUAGUUCCUUAUUUGACUCUGAAAAAGUUAUUCUUCCCUAUUUGACACUAGUCCUAAAUUUUAUUCCCUAUAUAACACUUCUGUCCAUUUUGAGCCUAAAUGACAUCUGAAAAGACGAUUUUGCCCCUCAUGCGGUAUGUGUGUGCGCUCGCGUGUGUGCUAUUGCGUGUGUGGGUGCACGCGCACAUGUGUGCUGCCGCUGCAUGUGUGUGUGCAUGUGUGCUGCAGUGUGUGUUUGCUACUGCGUGUGUACGUGCGCGCGUGUGUGUGUGCUGUUGCAUGCCUAUGUGCUGCCUGUGUGUGUGCUGCUGCUGCGUGUGUGUGUAUGUGUGCGUGUGUGUUGCUGCGUGUGUGUGUAUGUGUGUGUGCUGCGUGCGUGUGUGUGUGCGUGCAUGUGUGUUGCUGCGUGUGUGUGUGUGCACGGGCACGUGCAUGUUGUUGCGUGUGUGUGUGUGCACGUGCGCGUGCGUGUUGUUGCGUGUGCGUGUGUGUUGGUGCAUGUGUAUGUGUUGAUGCGUGUGUUCUCUUGCCCUCGCACUGAUGCUGCGUGCGUGCGCUAUUGCCCCCCACACAUACCACAUGAGGGGCAAAAGAGUCUUUUCAUGUGUCAUUUAGGCUCAAAAUAGACGGAAAUGUCAUAUAGGGAAUAAAAUUUAGAACUUGUGUCAAAUAGGAAAGAAAAACUUUUCCAGUGUCAAAUAAGGAAUUUUUUCCAAAAAAUGAAUGGAGCAACCACUUAUAUGAUGCCAUGGUCUAGUCCAAUUCAAUGCCAACCCCAAAGACAACUGUGCUGCAAUGGUGGUUCAAUCCUAUGAUUGGAACAAAUGGCAAGUUCUAUUUGUUCACAUGGUACGUGUCAAACACAACAACAUCACCAAAGGCAUCAUAGUCCAACCGGGACUACGUCUGACCAAAAAAGGUUCUGCAGAUGGCCUCUGCUGUCUGUGUUGUACCUGUACCAAAAUUCAGAAUCUCAUCUUCCUGCGCUGCCAUAUAGUUCAGCAUGUAUUGGGCACCGAAAUCUUUGAUUCUUUGCUUCUUGUACUCAGCAAAAAAAUUAUAUAGGUCCCGAGACACACAGCCAACUUUGUCAUAACCAGCGUGAUGCCUCUCCAUUACCUCCAUUAUCUGAUGUGUGCGUGACCACCAAUACCAUACUCAAUGGCAUCAGGCUUUUGAGCAUCAUUAAGUCCACGACGAGGCCAUAAGAAAGGUGUCUGGUCAGGCUUAGUGAAUUCAUAGUUAUGCUGGUCCACAAAUUCCUUGACAAGAGAGUGCCCUUGGUUUCCUUUUUCCAGUUGGACCUUCCAAAGUUAUUCAUGGGCCUAUAUAUCUCUUUGCUGCACAUAUACAACCUUUGGAUUCUUAUGUCUCCCUUAUUUUUCACAUUGGCCUUCCUGACGCUGAACACUUCCUCUUAAGCAUGUUUAUUACAGAACUCGAAACCUUGUUCAUCGCUUGUGAAUGUUUGACUAACAACCCUGUAAUAUUCUUCAGUUUCCUCUAUGCUGACAUGGCGAGCAUCCAUGUUGUGCAACUGCAUGCCGGCCACAAAUAAACUGAAUAAUGUCAUUUACGCAUCUCUAGUGCCAAACUACAUCAUCAAAAAUGUAAAUCAAAGCACUUCUGCCACAUGACAACCAACACACCAAAAUGUGAACCGUAAUUGCAAGUGUUCUGAAUGUAUGUGGAUUGACUUUGCCUGUACUGUAAGCAAACAAUAUAAACUAUGUGAUUCCACCAAGCAAAUAAUAUGUAGCCACCAUGUUUUCAUGGAGAGUUGGUCCUAAAUACUCCAUGCAAUUUCUAAAACAGUUUUGCUAAAGCACAUCUAGAUGUGCUAUAAGUAUUGCACAUCUAAAUCCUAUGUCAUUGAUCUUACGUUGAGAUUCGUGUGGAUACUUACUUUUUCUUUUUUCUUUUCCUCUUUAUGCUUGACUCACUCACUUAGAUGUGCAAUAACUAGUGCCCUAGACACACCCUUUCUAAAAUUAUUUAAGAUUCUGUAUGAACAAAACUUCUGAUGCCACAUCAUUCUUAUAGAAGAUAUAACAGUGUCGACGAUAAAGGUCAAGAGAAUAUAGAGUACUGAAGGCAAGAGCAUGUCCAGUUUAAUUUUACUUGGGCCUCAUACGUGAAUUCUAAUCUCUUUGGUAUUAUUGAAGCAUUACCUUCUGCCGGCGGACCAGCAGUGAUAGAGACGAACGGAAGGGCAGUGCCAACGGCGACAGCAGGAUUAGCGGGCGGUGGUGCAUCGGUAAACGGCGGCCAGAGAUUCUGGUAGAGGCAGACGGAACGGACGGACCUGAAGGUUCCGGAGGCGGACGGCUCGGGCAGGCAAGAGGUACGGUAGAGGCGGAUGGAACGGACGGGCAGGAAGGAUCCGGAGGCCGACGGCGCGGUGGCGCGGCGGCGAGAGCCACGGGUCGGCUGCGGCGGCAACUAGGGCUUGGGUGACAGGUCGGGACUUUCUGUUGAUUGAUUGAACUAUUUAACUAUCGAGCUAGACUGCCCUUGGGCUAAAAGAAAAGAAAUCUAAUGUAAACUGCCUAUAUUACCCUUCAAAUCGACGGUGGAUCUGUGCAAAUACUAGCAUUUCCUAUGACUGGUAACUUGCACCGUAAAACGAAUCCUAACUGACCCCAGGACCGUCGAAAACGCUGACAGCACACCUCCUUUGCACGCUGAUCGCCACUAAACAAGGAGGCGUCCACUCGUCGAGAACCAUGUAAUCUAGUAUUCAUAUCAUUGACAAACACAUGAUAUAAUAGUGCAGGCAAAGAGGGACGCGGGCUUUGGUCUAUGGAUGUACAUACAUCCUAGGGAGUGCCUAGGACUCAUCUAAAUGAGAUAUAAUUUGGUCUCAUUCACCUGAAAACAAAAACAGAUAAAAAUAGUACUACAAACCACAUCAGCACACACGCAUCUUAUAGUAUCAAUCCAAUGACUAUAAAAGUGAAUGAGACAUAACUAAAACUCAGCUAGAUGAGUUCUAGCAAAGCCGUACAUCCUAUAUGAAAAAAAUAGUAAUUCAUUGUACUUGUGACAAAAUUUCACAAGACGAAAAACCCUACGAACUCCUUUUCAAAAAAAUAAAAUUUUCAGCCAAAAAAAUGUGAAUAGUGACCUAUAAUAGCAAAUAAAUUUCCUUUUUGCCCCGAAGUCAACGCUGGGUUUUUAUUCGCGAAAAUUUAUAUACUAGUGCAAAAUCCAAACAAACUUCUAAACUUAUUUGACUUUUUUGUAAAAAAAAAAUCCCGGGUGUAUCUACAACCAGGAAGCAAAGGGUAUUUCCCAGGCGAAGGGCCUCAUAAAUCCAUUACAGCACUCGGGUAACGAAAAGCAUGAAGAAGUAAGAAAUACUUGCUUCCCAAAAGAAGGGGCGGAACAUAUAAAUUUAUGGAAUAAUUCUCUCGGACAUGAGCAUUACCAGUACUAGGAAAUUGGUCGUGAAAGCACUUCUUGCCUGCUCAUCAUGCCGUUGGCCGUUAGGAAUCCAUACUAUCCGCAACUUGCUCAUCACCAUCCGUGUCAUCAUCUCACCACAAUAUCUGGAAUCAUCGUCUGCUACAAGGUACUCUACAACUCUUCGGCCAGCAUCCCAUCACCAAGGCUUCCGCUUUGUUCUACAAGACACAACUCCAGCUUCUCAAGCACUUCUUGCAUUGUAGGGCGGUCGAUACCACGAUCACUUACACAUUUCUCAGCAAUCUCCACAAACUUGUUGAAGCACCGCGGAGCAAUCUUUCCUUCAAGAUAGGGAUCAACAAUCAGAUCAAGGACGCCCUUCUUCUGGCAACUAAGGGCGCAUUGUGCAAGUUCAACUUGUCUCCUUGGAAAACUAGGAUCCCAAUGCAGCCCGAGCACACAACACCUCAAACAGCACGACAUCAAAAGAAAUAAAGAAUAUCCAUUGGAUUUCUCUGUUGGUUGCCCAGUUCCGAGAAAUUCAGGAUCGAUAUAACCUGCAUAUACUCCAGUGUUCCUUGUUUUCUCCUGAAUAAGACACCGUUGAUCGUACUAGCAUCUUGGUUUUUCUCAACUUCAUGAUGCAAACCUACAUAGAAAGCUGAAGGAGGUCAGAAGCGAGCGGCAGAUAUAUCAAAGCUUCAGGAGCAGUGCAAAUGAUGAAUGGCUUCGAGCUGUUCCAGCAUGAACCCAUGCGUGUUUUUGUUUUUCAUAAGCUCUUCGCCCUCCGGCAUUUGAACCCUGGGCGUUUGACAAUCACAUAUUUACAUUUGUUGAGAUGGUCAAAUUUGCGGACUUUUUUUUAGGUACCGGCCUGAAUCGAUUCAGGUAAAAAAGAACCAAAGUUCCUUGCAAGCUCUGAAGAUAAAAUAAAGGCCCUAGGGCAACAAGGGGACACUAAAAGCUAAAACCAACUAUACAAGCCAUGAAAAAAAAGGGUUCGUUUUUGUAGCGCAAAAUCGUGGAGUGAAAAUCCAAUCUCAGGCAAACCCUGAAGACACCAAACAUGUGAUCCGAGAAACCAACUGCCAUGGGCACAAACCCACAGAACUCAGAAAGAGAAACAUGCCAUAAGGUUCAAGCUUUGAUUCUAAAACCAAUAAAUAAAUGAAAUCAGAAAAAAAAGAGAUAAGGUUUAAGCUUUCACAGCCUGACAGACACCUGAAAAGAAAGUCGCUUCCUUUCAUCUUAAGAAUGAUUACCAGCUACAGAAAUCCAUGGAAUACAUGAAGGUUGCGAAUACAUGAGGAACAGUCCUGAAUCCGAAGGUCAAAACAAAAAGGCACUGUGCUCGGCGGUUCUCUCUAAAUACAUGUCUGACGUCUCUACCGGCAAUUACAGCUCCAAAAACUAUGAAUAAAACCGCAUUUGGAACGAGAUGGUGGCACAAAAAAAAUGAUCUACGAUAUGAAAGUGGGGGUUGAUUGGCCGAGGAUUCAUGACACGCUUUGUUGGGCAACACCCUGGACUUUUGUUCUGCUCAUGUCACUCUUUCGUAGGUGCCACCAAUCUGCAUGUGAAGCCAUUCUGCAGCCGGCGAGCCCUGGGCAUACUCCCUUGGUGUUUGUGGGUCAAAUGUUAACCCUGGAGCUGUGUUGUAUGUUGGCGCAGCGAACUGCAAGUGAGAAGAACAAAAGGUAAACCUUCUGGAGCUAAGAUAUGUUUUGCUGUACACAAACGUGCCAAUAUAUCAUUGGAAUAUAUUUGCAAGGGAC
rnacentral:lncRNA from 1 species